rnacentral:rRNA from 1 species
GAUGAACGCUGGCGGCGUGCCUAAUACAUGCAAGUCGAGCGAACGGACGAGAAGCUUGCUUCUCUGAUGUUAGCGGCGGACGGGUGAGUAACACGUGGAUAACCUACCUAUAAGACUGGGAUAACUUCGGGAAACCGGAGCUAAUACCGGAUGAUAUUUUGAACCGCAUGGUUCAAAAGUGAAAGACGGUCUUGCUGUCACUAAUAGAUGGAUCCGCGCUGCAUUAGCUAGUUGGUAAGGUAACGGCUUACCAAGGCAACGAUGCAUAGCCGACCUGACAGGGUGAUCGGCCACACGGGAACGGAGACGCGGUCAAGACUCCUAAGGGAGGCAGCAGUAGGGAAUCGUCCGCAAUGGGCGAAAGCCUAGCGGAGUAACGCCGAGUGAGAGAUAACGGUCUUCGGAUCGUAAAACUCUGUUAUUAGGGAAGAACCUAUGUGUAAGUAACUGUGCACAUCUUGACGGUACCUAAUAAGAAAGCCACGGCUAACUACGUG